UUUAUGGAGAGUUUGAUCCUGGCUCAGGAUGAACGCUGGCGGCGUGCCUAAUACAUGCAAGUCGAGCGAACGGACGAGAAGCUUGCUUCUCUGUUGUUAGCGGCGGACGGGCGAGUAACACGUGGAUAACCUACCUAUAAGACUGGGAUAACUUCGGGAAACCGGAGCUAAUACCGGAUAAUAUUUUGAACCGCAUGGUUCAAAAG
rnacentral:rRNA from 1 species